CAAUAGCGUAUAUUAAAGUUGUUGCAGUUAAAAAGCUCGUAGUUGGAUUUGUGGCGUACGGUGUGUUCCGGGCACUUGUUGUCUGAGUAACCUGCUGUUGCCAUCCUUGGGUGGAACCUGUGUGGCAUUAGGUUGUCGUGCAGGGGAUGCCCAUCAUUUACUGUGAAAAAAUAAGAGUGUUCAAAGCAGGCUUAUGCCGUUGAAUAUAUUAGCAUGGAAUAAUGAGAUAGGACUUUUUUGCUAUUUUGUUGGUUUGCGCAAAGAGGUAAUGAUUAAUAGGGACAGUUGGGGAUAUUCGUAUUCCAUUGUCAGAGGUGAAAUUCUUGGAUUUUUGGAAGACGAACUACUGCGAAAGCAUUUACCAAGGAUGUUUUCAUUAA
rnacentral:rRNA from 1 species